GGAUGAGGAGCUUGUUGCUUACUAUCUUGAUCGAAAAAUCACAGGCAAAACGAUUGAACUUGAAAUAAUCCCAGAAGUUGAUCUCUAUAAAUGCGAGCCAUGGGAUUUACCAGAUAAGUCGUUUUUACCAAGCAAAGAUUUGGAGUGGUAUUUUUACAGUCAAAGGGAUAAGAAGUACCCAAAUGGGUCAAGAACUAACAGGGCAACAAGAGCUGGUUACUGGAAAGCCACAGG
rnacentral:misc_RNA from 1 species